rnacentral:tRNA from 1 species
GGGCCGCUAGCUCAAUUGGUAGAGCAGGACCCUCUUAAGGUCAAGGUUCUUGGUUCGAUUCCAAGGCGGCUCACCA